rnacentral:rRNA from 1 species
AUUGAACGCUGGCGGCAGGCUUAACACAUGCAAGUCGAGCGGGGUGAUGGUGCUUGCACUAUCACUUAGCGGCGGACGGGUGAGUAAUGCUUAGGAAUCUGCCUAUUAGUGGGGGACAACAUCUCGAAAGGGAUGCCAAUACCGCAUACGUCCUACGGGAGAAAGCAGGGGAUCACUUGUGACCUUGCGCUAAUAGAUGAGCCUAAGUCGGAUUAGCUAGUUGGGGGGGUAAAGGCCUACCAAGGCGACGAUCUGUAGCGGGUCUGAGAGGAUGGUCCGCCAGACUGGGACUGGGACACGGCCCGGACUCCUACGGGAGGCAGCAGUGGGGAAUAGUGGACAAUGGGGGGAACCCUGAUCCAGCCAUGCCGCCUGUGUGAAGAAGGCCUUAUGGUUGUAAAGCACUUUAAGCGAGGAGGAGGCUCUUUUGGUUAAUACCCAAGAUGAGUGGACGUUACUCGCAGAAUAAGCACCGGCUAACUCUGUGCCAGCCGCCGCAGUAA